CGAGGCUAAGCUAGUGGGGGCAAAGUUUCAGUGCAUUCCGUUGAUGUAGACGGCGUGAAAACGGAACCAAGUAUGCCGGCUCACUGUGCUGCAUACAAUUACACACUGCGUCGUACGAUUGAGACAAGGAAACUUGGAAUGACUUUUCAUAGGUUUCCCAGAGACUAUGGGUUGAGGAGGAAUUGGAAGUUUGUCGGCUUAGACCUGGUGUCAUUCCAUCAGUGUUAAACUUCCCAGCUCAUCUUGGAAGAGUACGUGCCAGAAAGACCACGACCAAGCAGCCUUGAGAUCUUAGGCAGCGUCUCCCUGAGGUCCCUCUCUAUCUCCCCACACAUCCACCAACCACUGGAACACAUCUCCAAAGUUCUGCUGGGCCAGCUCAGCUUCCCCUCAGAAGAAGUGCCGCCACCUGCCAGAUGAAGGAGCCUUUUGAGAGGCAGCUGGCAUCGUGAUUGGACUGUACUUUGGUCUAUUCCAAUCCAGCUUCAGCUCCAGAGGCGGCAGGCGGGACGAGUCAACGGAGGCCGGAUGGACGAAGGCAUGCAGCUCAGUACAAUCCAGAAAACAACAGAGGAGGAGUGCAGCGGCUCAGGGCCAGAACAAACAGAGUAGCAUGGUAUGUCUCUUAGAAAACAUCAUAGUAUAGCCUUUGGGAUGAAAAAAACGCCAUCAUAUACAUCGUAUAUUGCACAAAUAACAAGUCAAAGGAAAGAGACAUACAUUAUAGAAUUGUAGUAAUUGUGGGCUGACUGAUGUACUGAUUAUCAGUAUUUUAUUUUUUACUGAUUUACAGUAAUAAAUACAUUUAAAAAUGGUGCUACUUUGGCUCUGAACCUUUAUCUACCUGUGGUCGCUCUGUCUUCUGGAGUGAUUUGAUUGGUUAUACGUCACGAAUAAAACUCCUUU